rnacentral:rRNA from 1 species
GAUGAACGCUGGCGGCGUGCCUAAUACAUGCAAGUCGAGCGAACAGACGAGGAGCUUGCUCCUCUGACGUUAGCGGCGGACGGGUGAGUAACACGUGGAUAACCUACCUAUAAGACUGGGAUAACUUCGGGAAACCGGAGCUAAUACCGGAUAAUAUAUUGAACCGCAUGGUUCAAUAGUGAAAGACGGUUUUGCUGUCACUUAUAGAUGGAUCCGCGCCGCAUUAGCUAGUUGGUAAGGUAACGGCUUACCAAGGCAACGAUGCGUAGCCGACCUGAGAGGGUGAUCGGCCAAACUGGACCUGAGACCCGGUCCAGACUCCUACGGGAGGCAGCAGUGGGGAAUCUUCCGCAAUGGGCGAAAGCCUGACGGAGCAACGCCGCGUGAGUGAUGAGGGUCUUCGGAUCGUAAAACUCUGUUAUUAGGGAAGAACAAAUGUGUAAGUAACUAUGCACGUCUUGACGGUACCUAAUCAGAAAGCCACGGCUAACUACGU